GCAAUAAUUAAAGCUAAACUUUAAAUAGGUGAUGAUCAUGGAUUCUAAUUAGGUCAUAUUACAAGCACAUGCACGUCAAUCGAUCAGUUGGUCUUCAACUCUUGAAUUGGUCCCGAGCCUUCUUGAUUCGAUCCCUGAUCAACUCUUGAUCCUAUCGCCAUCAACCGCUUAGAUCGCCGUUCAUCUCAUGCACUAUCUUCGACUUGAUCGUUGACGUACAUCACAUCACAGAAAUACAACCA
rnacentral:lncRNA from 1 species